GCUCAGCGUUGCUCACACCUUUCAAGCUCAGUCGCUGUUCCAGCGUGAGCAUGUGAAGCUGCAAUAGGCCGUUUGUAAAGAGAGGUCCUGCCUACUGUACAUCAUGCAACCCUUGGAACCCAGUGUGAGAGAAGAAUUUUUAAAAUACUACUGUCCUCUAACGUUGGACCCCAACACAGCCAACAGGCGCCUUAGUCUCUCUGAAGGGAACAGGAAGGCCACACUAAUGGCAGAUGUCCAAAUGUAUACUGAACAUGCUGAGCGAUUCGAUCACCGGCCACAAGUUCUGUGCAGAGAGGGUCUGUUGGGGUCUCGCUUUUACUGGGAAGUGGAGUGGAGUGGAGGAGGCGCCGAAAUUGGAGUCGCAUAUAAAGGAAUCAACAGGAAAGAUUGGUCCAAAGAAGGUCGAUUAGGAUUUAAUGACAAAUCAUGGAUUGUGCUCUGCUCUGAUACCAGUUCCUAUGCCUGGCCAGACAAAAUAAAAUUAUUGGCCCCGUCUGGUCCUAAAAUCGGGGUAUACCUUAACUGUCUCUUUGGCACUCUCUCGUUUUACAACAUAUCUGGCCCAAUGACCCUCCUAUAUUGUUUCAAGAGCACAUUCACUGAGCCUCUUUAUCCUGGAUUUCGGCUUCAUUAUAACUUUUCCGGGGACAGUGACUCCAGUGUGACAAUAUGCCAGCUAAGCCAAUCUAACCAUCUGUAACCUAUAAACCUCUUCCGUUUUCUCAAUGGCUGUUCAAUAGCCCUCCUUUCAAGGUGUCUCAUAUGUGUGAGGCUGUCACAGAAAAGACUUCCUGGGUUCAAAUUCCCAUAGCACCCCCAUAGUGUUUGUAAGUUGCAAAAAUUGUAAUGUGUAAUUGUAAUUGUAAUUGUAAUGUAAGGCAUAUUCUGCUGAACAACUCAUCAGGUCCCAUUGUGUCUUUUUUAAAUUGGCCAGAAAUAUUUCAUUUUCCACUAAUCUAUAAAUAUGAAAUGCUAACAUCUGUCGGUCUGUCAUGCAAUUACUUGCAGACUAAUAGGGCUAGAGCCUUGAUCUUGGUCUUAAUCGAAACCUUAUGGCUUAAAAUAUUUGGUAGCGGCAUCCUCAGCAUAAUGACCUGUGGUUGUCACUUUAUGACAAAGUGAAUGAAAAAGUUAGUGAUAGCCACCAUAAUGACUGAAAGAAAAAGAAGACCAGUGACAUCUGCUGAACGUCAAGCACAACACAGAGGGUGAUUAAGUGAUGACAAAUGACAAAGAAUAAGAAAACAAGGCACUGAAGCACACAGACAAGCAGGAACUAAUCCAGAAUAUAUUUUAAUAUUUGGUGUACUCUAUUAAUCCCCGAAAAGAAACUGUCUUUUCACAUGACCUUUGGAGGAAUAUAGCCUGAUAUGUUCAGGAAAUUCUAAAAAUUUUGAGAACCUGGUGGCCACUUUAGUGGUAGCCAGAAAAGUUUAUUGUGAUUAAAGUGUGGUGCCCGGGACAAGGUAAAUAUGUGUUCAGAAUUCAUAAUCAAAUGUAAUUAUUGUGUUUUUUGAUCUUUGAACAUGGGACUUUAUUAAAUGUAAA